CCUACGGGCGGCAGCAGUGAGGAAUAUUGGUCAAUGGACGAGAGUCUGAACCAGCCAAGUAGCGUGAAGGAUGACUGCCCUAUGGGUUGUAAACUUCUUUUAUAUGGGAAUAAAAUGUUCCACGUGUGGGAUUUUGUAUGUACCAUAUGAAUAAGGAUCGGCUAACUCCGUGCCAGCAGCCGCGGUAAUACGGAGGAUCCGAGCGUUAUCCGGAUUUAUUGGGUUUAAAGGGAGCGUAGGUGGAUUGUUAAGUCAGUUGUGAAAGUUUGCGGCUCAACCGUAAAAUUGCAGUUGAAACUGGCAGUCUUGAGUACAGUAGAGGUGGGCGGAAUUCGUGGUGUAGCGGUGAAAUGCUUUGAUAUCACGAAGAACUCCGAUUGCGAAGGCAGUUCACUGGACUGCAACUGACACUGAGGCUCGAAAGUGUGGGUAUCAAACAGGAUUAGAUACCCUUGUAGUC
rnacentral:rRNA from 1 species